UCCGGUAUGGUGUAGUGGCUAACAUCGCUCGCUCUCAAUUGAGAAGCACCGAGCAGCCCAGGGUUCGAUUCCCUGUACCGGAG
rfam:Stachybotrys chlorohalonata IBT 40285 unplaced genomic scaffold scaffold1704, whole genome shotgun sequence.